rnacentral:rRNA from 1 species
ACCCGCUGAACUUAAGCAUAUCAAUAAGCGGAGGAAAAGAAACCAACAGGGAUUGCCCUAGUAACGGCGAGUGAAGCGGCAACAGCUCAAAUUUGAAAUCUGGCUUCGGCCCGAGUUGUAAUUUGCAGAGGAAGCUUUAGGCGCGGCACCUUCUGAGUCCCCUGGAACGGGGCGCCAUAGAGGGUGAGAGCCCCGUAUAGUUGGAUGCCUAGCCUGUGUAAAGCUCCUUCGACGAGUCGAGUAGUUUGGGAAUGCUGCUCAAAAUGGGAGGUAAAUUUCUUCUAAAGCUAAAUACCGGCCAGAGACCGAUAGCGCACAAGUAGAGUGAUCGAAAGAUGAAAAGCACUUUGAAAAGAGGGUUAAAUAGCACGUGAAAUUGUUGAAAGGGAAGCGCUUGUGACCAGACUUGCGCCGGGCGGAUCAUCCGGUGUUCUCACCGGUGCACUCCGCCCGGCUCAGGCCAGCAUCGGUUCUCGCGGGGGGAUAAAGGUCCUGGGAACGUAGCUCCUCCGGGAGUGUUAUAGCCCGGGGCGUAAUGCCCUCGCGGGGACCGAGGUUCGCGCAUCUGCAAGGAUGCUGGCGUAAUGGUCAUCAGCGAC